CGAGCCAAGACACCUUCAGAACUGAGAUGCUUAAAAAAGUUGGUGUCCAGCUUCAAUCCAGUAUUAACCCCACAUGGAGCUGAUUAAACAGCCGGGCUCUUGAUCCCUCUGCUCUCCUUUGUUGCAGGACCUCGGCUCGGUCUCGCGGCUGCGACGGCUCCAGGAAUCAUUAAAAAGUGAUUAUGAGGGAGCGAACACAGCGAGCAGCCGCCAUCUACCAGCCAGCCAGGAGUGAAAUAGUCUGCAGCUGCUGCUCGCUGCUCUGUUAGGCGGGCUCCCAUUAAAGGGGAAAUUUGAUGCGUCAUGCGAUUCUUCUUCUGCACAAAAUGGACCAAUCGCGUGCCGCCUACUUCAGUCAAGAGGAACAGGUGGUCAUGAUGGAGAGCUGGGAAGAAUAUAAAAAAUGCUGCUGCAAAUAAGGCAGAAAAUUCACUCUCAGAGCCUCACGAUUAUUUAAAGGACAGCUGCACAUCCAGCUCUCACACUGUAAACUUGACACGUUUAGAUGUGGUACUAAAAAGUGGAUUUAGGUCUGACACUGUCCCAUCAUGAAGGACAAAUCAAUCAUUAAAGUGAAAUUAAAUGUAUUG